UCCUCGGUAGCUCAAUGGCAGAGCGGGUGGCUGUUAACCACUAGGUUCGAGGUUCGAGUCCUCGCCGAGGAGCCA
rnacentral:tRNA from 1 species